rnacentral:rRNA from 1 species
UACGAAGGGUGCAAGCGUUACUCGGAAUUACUGGGCGUAAAGCGUGCGUAGGUGGUUUGUUAAGUCUGAUGUGAAAGCCCUGGGCUCAACCUGGGAAUUGCAUUGGAUACUGGCAGGCUAGAGUGCGGUAGAGGGUAGUGGAAUUCCCGGUGUAGCAGUGAAAUGCGUAGAGAUCGGGAGGAACAUCUGUGGCGAAGGCGACUACCUGGACCAGCACUGGACACUGAGGCACGAAAGCGUGGGGA